CCCACCCUCUAGAAACUUUUUUAAGAAGUCCCCCUCUAGAAACUUAAGAGAAAGGGUAACGCGUGGUGUGUCGGCUAUUUUGAUUUCUAGAUCGAAUUCCCACACCAUUCAAAAAGAAAAAGCCAUGCCCCCACAAUAUUAGUAUAUAUAUAUACUAUAUAGAGCUCUUUUGUGACUAACUUCCUAUGUGCGUAUAGAAUUUAUUAGUCCAAAUUAAAUUAGAAGUGGAAAUGGCUAUGCCCAAGUGUUUUUGGCUCUUUUUCUGGUUCUGUAUGAUCGUUGCCAUGCUUCAACAGCCAAGAGAGUUAGAAGCCAGGCCAUUGACACUUCAGAAAGGGCGCUUAAAUAACUUUGUUGCAACACUUGGGAUUGAGUGCAAGUGUUGUGAUGGAAUAAAAGGUGAAUGCAGGAGCACCUGGGACUCUUCUUGCCCCAAGCUUCAAUGCCUUCCAUGGAAGCACCAGUAAUUAAAUGUAUAAGGAUUAAGGAAUAUACUUUUAUGCCUGUUGUACUAUAUGUAUUGUAAUCUCUUAUAUUCCUAUGCUAUAUUAUUUAUGUUGACUACUUUUGACUUUGCCUUCUUACUAAUAAAAGGCGUUCUGUAAUAUAUUUACUCCGCAUGGAUUACUAGUUUUAUCUUGAACA